AACGAACGCUGGCGGCAUGCCUAACACAUGCAAGUCGAACGAGACCUUCGGGUCUAUUGGCGCAGGGGUGCGUAACGCGUGGGAACCUGCCCUUAAGUUCGGAAUCACUCCCCGAGAGGUAUCCUCAUACCGGUUAAUGUCUUCCGACCAACGAUUUAUGGCCUUUGGAUGGGCCCGCGUUAGAUUAGCUAGUUGGUAGGGUAAAAGCCUGCCUACGCGAGGAUCCAUAGCUGGUCUGAGAGGAUGAUCAGCCACAAUGGGACUGAGACACGGCCCAGACUCGGACGGAGGGCAGCAGUAGAGUAUAUUAGACACUGGGCGAAAGCCUGAUACAGCAGUGCCGCGUAUGAGAUGAAGGCCUUAGGGUUGUAAAGCUCCUUUACACGAGAUGAUAAUGACAGUAACGGGAGAAGAAGCUCCGGCUAACUACGUG
rnacentral:rRNA from 1 species